rnacentral:ribozyme from 12 species
AGAAGUAAAAAAAGACUAUUAAAAAAAAAAAAAAAAGAAGAAAAAAAAAAUCACACACUCACACGCGCACAGGCUUUAUGCUCGUUUUCUCCUAUUCAUUCGUU